rnacentral:rRNA from 1 species
UAAACGCGUGGGGCAACCUGCCCCAUAGAGGGGGACAACAGCUGGAAACGGCUGCUAAUACCGCAUAACAAGGAGAGAGCGCAUGUUCUUUUCUUCAAAGAUUUAUCGCUAUGGGAUGGACCCGCGUCUGAUUAGCUAGUUGGUGAGGUAACGGCUCACCAAGGCGACGAUCAGUAGCCGGCUUGAGAGAGUGAACGGCCACAUUGGGACUGAGACACGGCCCAGACUCCUACGGGAGGCAGCAG